rnacentral:SRP_RNA from 1 species
GCCAGGCAUGGUGGCACAUGCCUGUAUUCCUGCUUACUUGGGAGGCUGAGGUGGGAGGAUUUCUUGAGCCCAGGAGUUUGAAGUUGCAGUGAGCUAUGAUUGAGCCACUGCACUUCAGCCUGGGUGACAGAGCAAGAUCUUGUCUCUC